rnacentral:rRNA from 1 species
AUGGUUGCUGCAAUCGCUUCGGGUCUACAAUCUGCAGUAGAUUUAAGUGACAUCGACUCUGACCAGAGUGGUGAGGAUGAUCCUCCUUCUCCCAAAGGGAAGGAUACAAAGAAGAAGAAGGCUGAUCGGCUCACUGGCAUGUGUUUUAUGGCUCAUGAGGCUGAUGAGGAGAACGACAACACGGAUGAGGUUGGUUUUGAGGGUUUGGCAAACAAGUGGCUUAUUGACUCUGGGUGUUCACGCCACAUGACUGGUGAUACUAAAUGGUUCGCCUCCCUCUGCAAAGCGUCUGGUGAUGAAAAGAUCACUUUUGGGAAUGAUGCACAGGGUUGCAUUGUGGCCAAAGGAACAGUGCGAGUCAACGAGAACUGUCUUCUCAAGGAUGUAGCCCUUGUAAGUAAGUUGAGUUAUAAUUUGAUUUCAGUUUCACAACUUCUUGAUGAGGGUUUUGAGGUUCGUUUCAAGAAAUCUGCUUCUCGUGUUCUUGACUCUACUGGUGAUCUUGUCUUUGGUAUUUCUCGUGUUGGUAAAAUCUUUGGUGCUGAUUUUGGAGUGCUUUUGUCCUCUGGUCCACGAUGUUUUGUCGCCUCUUUGAACAUGAGCGAGUUUCAGUUGUGGCAUCGUCAUUUGGGGCAUGUUGGUUUUGAUCAUCUGACGCGAAUUGGCAGCCUUGAUCUUUUGUGA